UACGGAAGGCAGCAGUGGGGAAUAUUGCACAAUGGGCGCAAGCCUGAUGCAGCCAUGCCGCGUGUAUGAAGAAGGCCUUCGGGUUGUAAAGUACUUUCAGUCGUGAGGAAGGUGUUAAGGUUAAUAACCUUAGCAAUUGACGUUAGCGACAGAAGAAGCACCGGCUAACUCCGUGCCAGCAGCCGCGGUAAUACGGAGGGUGCGAGCGUUAAUCGGAAUUACUGGGCGUAAAGGGCGCGCAGGCGGUUAAUUAAGUUGGAUGUGAAAUCCCCGGGCUUAACCUGGGAAUGGCAUUCAAGACUGGUUAGCUAGAGUCUUGUAGAGGGGGUAGAAUUCCAUGUGUAGCGGUGAAAUGCGUAGAGAUGUGGAGGAAUACCGGUGGCGAAGGCGGCCCCUGGACAAAGACUGACGCUCAUGUGCGAAAGCGUGGGGAGCAAACAGGGAUUAGAUACC
rnacentral:rRNA from 1 species